rnacentral:rRNA from 1 species
GUAUGGUAGGAGAGCGUUCUAUGUGUGGAGAAGGUGUACCGUGAGGAGCGCUGAACGCAUAGAAGUGAGAAUGCCGGUAUGAGUAGCGAAAGACAGGUGAGAAUCCUGUCCACCGUAAGACUAAGGUUUCCAGGGGAAGGCUCGUCCGCCCUGGGUUAGUCGGGACCUAAGGAGAGACCGAAAGGUGUAUCCGAUGGACAACAGGUUGAUAUUCCUGUACUAGAGUAUGUAGUGAAGGAGGGACGCAGUAGGCUAACUAAAGCGUGCGACUGGAAGUGCACGUCUAAGCAGUGAGGUGUGAAUUGAGUUAAAUGCUUAAUUCUGUAACAUUGAGCUGUGAUGGGGAGCGAAGUUUAGUAGCGAAGUUAGUGACGUCACACUGCCAAGAAAAGCUUCUAGCGUUAAUCAUACUCUACCCGUACCGCAAACCGACACAGGUAGUCGAGGCGAGUAGCCUCAGGUGAGCGAGAGAACUCUCGUUAAGGAACUCGGCAAAAUGACCCCGUAACUUCGGGAGAAGGAGUGCUGGCUUUUAGUCAGCCGUAGUGAAUAGGCCCAAGCAACUGUUUAUCAAAAACACAGCUCUCUGCUAAAUCGUAAGAUGAUGUAUAGGGGGUGACGCCUGCCCGGUGCUGGAAGGUUAAGAGGAGUGCUUAGCGUAAGCGAAGGUAUGAAUUGAAGCCCCAGUAAACGGCGGCCGUAACCAUAACGGUCCUAAGGUAGCGAAAUUCCUUGUCGGGUAAGUUCCGACCCGCACGAAAGGCGUAAUGAUUUGGGCACUGUCUCAACGAGAGACUCGGUGAAAUUUUAGUACCUGUGAAGACGCAGGUUAACCGCGACAGGACGGAAAGACCCCAUGGAGCUUUACUGCAGUUUGAUAUUGAGUGUCUGUGCCACAUGUACAGGAUAGGUAGGAGCCAUUGAGAUCGGGACGCCAGUUUCGAUGGAGGCGUUGUUGGGAUACUACCCUUGUGUUAUGGCCACUCUAACCCGGUAGGUUCAUCAUCUACGGAGACAGUGUCUGACGGGCAGUUUGACUGGGGCGGUCGCCUCCUAAAAGGUAACGGAGGCGCCCAAAGGUUCCCUCAGAAUGGUUGGAAAUCAUUCGCAGAGUGUAAAGGUAUAAGGGAGCUUGACUGCGAGAGCUACAACUCGAGCAGGGACGAAAGUCGGGCUUAGUGAUCCGGUGGUUCCGUAUGGAAGGGCCAUCGCUCAACGGAUAAAAGCUACCCUGGGGAUAACAGGCUUAUCUCCCCCAAGAGUUCACAUCGACGGGGAGGUUUGGCACCUCGAUGUCGGCUCGUCGCAUCCUGGGGCUGUAGUCGGUCCCAAGGGUUGGGCUGUUCGCCCAUUAAAGCGGCACGCGAGCUGGGUUCAGAACGUCGUGAGACAGUUCGGUCCCUAUCCGUCGCGGGCGUAGGAAAUUUGAGAGGAUCUGCUCCUAGUACGAGAGGACCAGAGUGGACUUACCGCUGGUGUACCAGUUGUCUCGCCAGAGGCAUCGCUGGGUAGCUAUGUAGGGAAGGGAUAAACGCUGAAAGCAUCUAAGUGUGAAACCCACCUCAAGAUGAGAUUUCCCAUGAUUUUAUAUCAGUAAGAGCCCUGAGAGAAGAUCAGGUAGAUAGGUUAGGAGUGGAAGUUGUGUGAGCAAUGGAGCGGACUAAUGCUAAUAGCUCGAGGACUUAUCCAU